AUUGAACGCUGGCGGCAGGCCUAACACAUGCAAGUCGAACGGUAACAGGAAGAAGCUUGCUUCUUUGCUGACGAGUGGCGGACGGGUGAGUAAUGUCUGGGAAACUGCCUGAUGGAGGGAGAUAACUACUGGAAACGGUAGCUAAUACCGCAUAACGUCGCAAGACCAAAAAGGGGGACCUUCGGGCCUCUUGCCAUCGGAUGUGCCCAGAUGGGGUUAGCUAGUAGGUGGGGUAACGGCUCACCUAGGCGACGAUCCCUAGCUGGUCUGAGAGGAUGACCAGCCACACUGGAACUGAGACACGGUCCAGACUCCUACGGUAGGCAGCAGUGGGGAAUAUUGCACAAUGGGCGCAAGCCUGAUGCAGCCAUGCCGCGUGUAUGAAGAAGGCCUUCGGGUUGUAAAGUACUUUCAGCGGGGAGGAAGGGAGUAAAGUUAAUACCUUUGCUCAUUGACGUUACCCGCAGAAGAAGCACCGGCUAACUCCGUG
rnacentral:rRNA from 1 species